rnacentral:rRNA from 1 species
UUGUCUCAAAGAUUAAGCCAUGCAUGUCUCAGUACAAGCCAAAUUAAGGUGAAACCGCGAAAGGCUCAUUAAAUCAGUUAUGGUUCCUUAGAUCGUACCCACAUUUACUUGGAUAACUGUGGUAAUUCUAGAGCUAAUACAUGCAAACAGAGCUCCGACCGGAAACGGAAGGAGCGCUUUUAUUAGAUCAAAACCAAUCGGUGGCGGUUCUCCGUCAUCGUACAACUUGGUGAAUCUGAAUAACUUUAAGCUGAUCGCACGGUCUCGCACCGGCGACGCAUCUUUCAAAUGUCUGCCUUAUCAACUGUCGAUGGUAGGUUCUGCGCCUACCAUGGUUGUAACGGGUAACGGGGAAUCAGGGUUCGAUUCCGGAGAGGGAGCCUGAGAAACGGCUACCACAUCCAAGGAAGGCAGCAGGCGCGCAAAUUACCCACUCCCGGCACGGGGAGGUAGUGACGAAAAAUAACGAUACGGGACUCAUCCGAGGCCCCGUAAUCGGAAUGAGUACACUCUAAACCCUUUAACGAGGAUCAAUUGGAGGGCAAGUCUGGUGCCAGCAGCCGCGGUAAUUCCAGCUCCAAUAGCGUAUAUUAAAGUUGUUGCGGUUAAAAAGCUCGUAGUCGAAUCUGUGUCCCGCGCCGUCGGUUCAUCGUUCGCGGUGUUAACUGACGUGCCGCGGGACGUCCUGCCGGUGGGCUUAGCUCGCGAGGGCGGCCCAACUCAAUCCCGCCGCGGUGCUCUUCAUUGAGUGUCGAGGUGGGCCGGCACGUUUACUUUGAACAAAUUAGAGUGCUUAAAGCAGGCUAAAACUUCGCCUGAAUACUGUGUGCAUGGAAUAAUGGAAUAGGACCUCGGUUCUAUUUUGUUGGUUUUCGGAACCCCGAGGUAAUGAUUAAUAGGAACGGAUGGGGGCAUUCGUAUUGCGACGUUAGAGGUGAAAUUCUUGGAUCGUCGCAAGACGGACAGAAGCGAAAGCAUUUGCCAAAAACGCUUUCAUUGAUCAAGAACGAAAGUUAGAGGUUCGAAGGCGAUCAGAUACCGCCCUAGUUCUAACCAUAAACGAUGCCAGCUAGCGAUCCGCCGACGUUCUUUCGAUGACUCGGCGGGCAGCUUCCGGGAAACCAAAGCUUUUGGGUUCCGGGGGAAGUAUGGUUGCAAAGCUGAAACUUAAAGGAAUUGACGGAAGGGCACCACCAGGAGUGGAGCCUGCGGCUUAAUU